rnacentral:rRNA from 1 species
GUCUAUGGCCAUGCUACCCUGAACAAACCUGAUCCCAUCUGAUCUUGGAAGCUAAGCAGGGUUAGGCCUGGUAAGUACUUGGAUGGGAGACCACCUAGGAAGACCAGGUGCUAUAGGUG